rnacentral:rRNA from 1 species
GAUGAACGCUAGCGGCAGGCUUAACACAUGCAAGUCGAGGGGCAGCGAGUUGUAGCAAUACAAUGUCGGCGACCGGCGGAAGGGUGCGUAACGCGUGAGCAACAUGCCCGUAUCUGGGGGAUAGGAGAUGGAAACGUCUUAUAAUACCCCAUAACAACAGAGGCUGCAUGGCCUUUGUUUGAAAGAUUCAUUGGAUACGGAUUGGCUCGCGUGACAUUAGCUAGUCGGCGGGGUAACGGCCCACCGAGGCGACGAUGUCUAGGGGUUCUGAGAGGAAGGUCCCCCACACUGGAACUGAGACACGGUCCAGACUCC